rnacentral:rRNA from 1 species
AGAGUUUGAUCCUGGCUCAGAACGAACGCUGGCGGCAGGCUUAACACAUGCAAGUCGAACGGGUGUAGCAAUACAUCAGUGGCAGACGGGUGAGUAACACGUGGGAACCUUCCUAGGGGUACGGAACAACUCAGAGGAAACUUGAGCUAAUACCGUAUACGAUCCGUAAGGAGAAAGAUUCAUCGCCCCUAGACGGGCCCGCGUCGGAUUAGGUAGUUCGGUGGGGUAACGGCCUACCAAGCCUACGAUCCGUAGCUGAUCUGAGAGGAUGAUCAGCCACACUGGGACUGAGACACGGCGCCAGACUCCUACGGGAGGCAGCAGUGGGGAAUCUUGGACAAUGGGCGCAAGCCUGAUCCAGCCAUGCCGCGUGAGUGAGAGAAGGCCUUAUGGUUGUAAAGCUCUUUUACCAGGGACGAUAAUGACUGUAGCCUGGAGAAUGAGCCCCGGCAAACUUCGUGCCAGCAGCCGCGGUAAUACGAAUGGGGCUAGCGUUGUGCGGAAUCACUGGGCGUAAAGCGCACGUACGCGGGUCGUAAAGUGGGGGGUGAAAUCCCGGAGCUCAGUCCUGAACUGCCUUUGAUACUGUCGAUCUAGAUAUCUAGAGACUGAGUGAAAUUCCGAGUGUAUAGGUGAACUGCGUGCAUAUCAUGAUUAGCUCACUCGCUAAAGCUGCUUACUGUCUGAUACUGACCCUGAUGUUCUAUACCUGGGAUCCACCCUGAUGCAUCUCCUGUAAUAUUGGCAAUC